rnacentral:rRNA from 1 species
GCGCCAGACUCCUACGGGAGGCAGCAGUGGGGAAUAUUGCACAAUGGGGGAAACCCUGAUGCAGCGACGCCGCGUGAGUGAAGAAGUAUUUCGGUAUGUAAAGCUCUAUCAGCAGGGAAGAAAAUGACGGUACCUGAUUAAGAAGCCCCGGCUAACUACGUGCCAGCAGCCGCGGUAAUACGUAGGGGGCAAGCGUUAUCCGGAUUUACUGGGUGUAAAGGGAGCGUAGACGGCAGCACAAGUCUGGAGUGAAAUGCCGGGGCUUAACCCCGGAACUGCUCUUGGAACUGCGUGGCUGGAGUGCAGGAGGGGCAGGCGGAAUUCCUGGUGUAGCGGUGAAAUGCGUAGAUAUCAGGAGGAACACCGGUGGCGAAGGCGGCCUGCUGGACUGCAACUGACGUUGAGUCCCGAAAGCGUGGGGAGCAAACAGGAUUAGAUACCCCUGUA